rnacentral:rRNA from 1 species
GUUGAACGCUGGCGGCGUGCCUAACACAUGCAAGUCGAGCGAGAUAAAUGUGAGUGGAGACUUCGGUCAAAGCAAUCAUUUUGAAAGCGGCGGACGGGUGAGUAACGCGUGAGCAAUCUGCCCCAUACAAAGGGAUACCCACUGGAAACGGUGAUUAAUACCUUAUAAGACCACGAAGUCGCCUGGCUUAGUGGCCAAAGAUUUUAUCGGUAUGGGAUGAGCUCGCGUCUGAUUAGCUAGUUGGUGAGGUAAUGGCUCACCAAGGCGACGAUCAGUAGCCGACCUGAGAGGAUGAACGGCCACACUGGAACUGAGACACGGUCCAGACUCCUACGGGAGGCAGCAGUGGGGAAUAUUGCACAAUGGGCGCAAGCCUGAUGCAGCAACGCCGCGUGAAUGAUGAAGGCCUUCGGGUCGUAAAGUUCUGUCCUAAGGGAAGAAUACAGUGACGGUACCUUAGGAGGAAGCCCCGGCUAACUACGUGCCAGCAGCCGCAGUAAAAC